CGAGAAAGCACUGAAGACAACGGAGCAGAUAUCAAGUGUCGCGUGGCGGCCACUGAUUGCAUUGAUCUCAAACAAGUUGGUACUCUUACCCGCGUUCGUGGUUUGGCCAUAAGCCACUUCCUUAUCGUUGGAAUCAAAUGCAUAGGCGCGUACAAAGUACGUUGCCUGAGGAACGUCGCGCUGAAUCAACCACUCGAAGGUUUGGACCGUUUUGUUGGAAGCAUUGUAUGGCAUGGCUAACAUUUUGUGUUGGCAAGUUUUGUCCCUAGAGAGUUCAUCCUCUGUCUUUCUCCAAGCGCGGUCUUUUUGGCUUAUGGCCGCGUAGCACAACUUCAGCUUUAUGGUUUUGUAUGAAGAGUCUGUUCCAGCUGGGAAGGUCUUGUUUAGAGCCCAUGUCCCACUGAUUUUGUCUACUCCAGAUAACAGAACUGCAUAGAUAUUUCAUAGCAAAAUUGAGUUUAUAUUUAAGGAGUAUUUAACAUCAUGACUUAUAUAAAAUUAUAAUUAAAUACGCCAAUACAAAAGGUGCAAAAUCUUAUUGUUACAAUUACCUUGUCCAUGCUUAGGGGAAGCUGUGACAUCAAGGGUUCUUUUCAAGGAAGAAAAGAGAUCCUUUCCAUAACAAAGUUCAGAUAAACAGCAUAGAAGAAGUGAUGCUACCACAAGCUUGUGUGCUGCCAUAGUUACUUAUAAAGAAAAGUCAACUUGGUGAAAAGGAGUAGACUUGAGAGAAAAGCCAAAAUUGGAAUGAUAUUAUGAGAAGAAUCUGAAUGGAGAUGCACUCAUUCUAAAGCAUUAUAUAUAAGGCAAAAUCCAAAUAAAAUAGUAUAAAUCUAUAUAAGUCAAAAGGCCCAAAUGCCCAAAAUAUAGUCUAAAAAAUAAUGGACGGAAGAAGCAAGUUGUAGACAGUAUAGCCCUUGAACAUAUAGAAGGGUCAUCCUAUUCAAAUCCAACGCAAGCUUAUUGGACUGAUGGAUAUAGUUUAGUUUAAUUUAUGGAUUAGUACAGGUUAAUUUGGCAACUGUUUAUUUUAAUAUUCCUUUAAUUGUGACACUAAGGUCCGUAUGAUAAUUUUUUGUCGAGAAAGAAAAAUAAAGUUCCCCUAAAAAAAAGAAUAAAAUUAAAACUGUUAUUGUGUUUGUAUUUUCUUCUUCUGCUCAAUAGCUUGAAGUUUUUCUUUUUGAAAUGAAAGGUUCGGGUGAGAUGUUGUAUGUCCCCCAUGUUCUCUACAUGAUUAAGUUCAUUUUUUCAUUCUUCAAAAAAAUAUAUUCAUUUUUUCAUAUAAAGCAUUUUUUUUCAUGUUUAUCAAAGAGAGUCUACAGCAUUAUUUAUGAUAAGUUGAUACUAAAAUAUUAAAAAAAAAAAAAAAAAAAAAAAGGUCUCAUGCUCAUCACAGUUCAAGUAUAAAUGUCAAUAAUUUAAUGGGUUCUAAUUCCUUGAUUCCCAUUUGAUCUUAUAUUGUUAUCUUAGUUUUGUCCUCGUAUGUCCUGGAAAGGACAAGCAAGCAAACUGUGUUCUUAAAGUUUGGCUUUCCGUACUCCAUGUCUCAGAUCAACCUUUUUAUCCAAAAAAAAAAAUUUCUCCGAUCAACCUUUAUGUAAUGAAAAGCCACAUUUUCUCUAUGUAAUUUUGUUAUUAAAUCCGGUUAGGAUGGACUGUUGACUUAAGACCUUGCAGUAUAUUCUUAACAAGAUUUUAAAUUUGAUUCUCUUCAUGUCGAUUUUGAUGGACUAACAUAUGUUCUUAAAAAAAAUUACUUUUGUUAAUGUUUUUUUACAAAUUUAAAAUAACCUACUAUAAAUCAUGUUUUUUAGACAAUAUAACAGUGUUGUGAAUUGCCUUAUUUGCAUGUAUAUUAACAUAAAUAAUGUUGCUUGAGAGUGUUAAUAGAAAGAAAUAAUUUUAUAUUUAUAAAUUAUUUUCAUAGGCUCUCCAAGAUAACUUAUAAAAAUAAUGUAUAAUUUUUUACUUUAUUUUAUCUUUUGUCAUAGAAUGAAUGAAAUGCGUAAAUUAUUGUUGCUAUGUCCAUUGUCGAUGAGGUGUAAGAGGACAAACAUGUAUGAAAUUUUACGCCUCAUGGCGUUAGCUUCGCGUGUCAACACAUCAUGAAAAAUUUAGUCGAUAACGCGGACUUACGUGUAGAGGGCAAUUGGACGAAAUUAUGGCAUCUCAAAGUACCACUAAAAAAAUGAAGGUUUCCCUAUGGAAGGUGGCACGCGGUUACCUACCAACAGGAUACCGCCUUCAAACACAGAGUAUUCAGUGUAAUGAUCAUUGUGUGAUGCGGGAUAGGUUGUAUAAAAAUGAUUGACAUGUUUACUUUGGUUGCGACAAGUUAGAAGUCGUGUGGGAAGUGGCGCGGCUGUGUCAUAUCAUCAAAGAGAAUCUAGUAGUAGCAAAUGGAUUUGCAACUCUCUUCUUUCAACUAUUCGAACAACUUCCUCAUCAACAACUCCUUAUUUUUGUAAUGACUUUGUGAUGCAUAUGGAAAAGAAGAAAUGAGAAGCUUUCGAGUGAUAUAAAUACGAAUCCACGUAUGUUGGUGUACAUGGCACAUGAAUCUUUGAUGAAAUGGCAGCAAGCCCACGAACAUGCAUACAACAAGGAGGAAUGAUAAAGCAAUUCUAACAAAACAAUAAGUCAUAAUCAUGACAACUUGAGCUAAAUGGAGGUAGGAGAGGUCAAGUUCACAUCGAUGCAGCAAUCUUCAAGGAACAAGAGUGUUUAUGGAAUAUGCAUGUGCGUUAGAGGAAGUCUAGGAGAGUUCAUAAAGGCAAAAAUAACUUGGUUCUUUGGAUUACAGCAACCACACGAAGCGGAGGCAAGGGACUUAAAGGAAGCGAUAAAGUGACUUGACAAUAUAGGUCUAUCUAAAGUGUCUAUCGAACUUGAUUGCAAGCAAGUGGUUGACGGUAUAAUUAAGAGACUCAACACCAAUUCCAUGUUUGACGCUAUUAUUGAUAUUUGAACAACUUCACUUAAAACCUAUCAAAACUAGGAGACAAACAAAUAGUGUUGCUCAUUUGUUAACAAGGACGUCAUUAUCUUAUGCUAGUUUCCACAUUCAUGAUCAUAUUCUAUCUUGUACUGAGACUGUAAUUAUUGAUGAAAUGAGUUAAGUUUGCUUUCGUCAAAAAAAUAAUCUUUUAUUAUAGAAUUAAAUUGUAUAUUAUAUACGAUAAAUGUUUAUUUUUUUUUUUUGGCAAAAUAAAUGCUUAUGUUUAAAACGCUUAAUUGAAUUGUUUAUACAAGCACGACAUAUAUAAUUGAGUAAUUUUAUCUCAUAGUCGUUACAAAAAAAUAUUAGAAGUUUAUAUAACAUCACAAAUCUUAAUAAAUUUAAUAAUGUUAUAAUAUUAACAAAAAGAUGUAGGUUUCGUAUCCAACAAAAAAAAAGAUGUAUAUAGAAGAUAGAAGUAUAGAUAUAAUAAGAGAAAAAAAGAACAAGAGAAAACAUAUCAAGCAGGCUUGCCCGAGUGGUCUAAGGGGGUAGACUUAAGACCUACUGCACUGAGUGCGCGUGGGUUCAAACCCCACAGCCUGCAAAAUUCUUUUGCUUAUUUUUUUUUUUUUAAUUAUUUGUAUUUUUGCUCUAGAGCUUUUUUGGUCCUAUUUGACUCAUAAGAAAAAUGCAUCUCUAUGAUUACAAAGUAUAUGUUUGACACCAUUUCAACAUAUUUCGACUGACAAUAAAUAAUAUAUCAAAAUUUGUUCAAUUAGAAAGUUACAUCAUUAUCUCAACUGAACUAAAAUAUGGUUGCUUUCACACCAAUUACUACUACUGUCCCGAUUGCACAGGAUAUGAUAUUUUAGAAUCAAUUAAAUUUUUAUCAUUUUCUCAAGUUAUAAAUAGAUUUUUUAGAGGUAAUAAAUUAUUUUUGUAUACGUAUAAAAUAUAUAAUGACCUUAAAAUCAUUUGGAGUGCACGGCAUAUAUAUAUGUAAUUUGUUCAUAUAGAACUUGCUUUGGCACUUUGCUAUAAGCUUAAUUAAUUAUUUACAAAAAUUUCAUUCUGCAAAUGCUUAAUUUAUCAUCUCAGACAAUUAUUUCCCUACUAAGGAACCUUCAUUGAGCUUCAAAAUUUAGUGUUAGCUAACCCACGUCGAUUCAGUAAUGAAAAAAAAUACUAAUAAAUAUCUUUAGAACACUUGAUAAAAAGUUUAAAAUAAGACUUCCAUUGGCCUAUCCAACACUAAAGCUUAAAUAAAUUAAAGGAUCAAUUUUAUCUUUUUAUUAAAUACAAUCGCAUAGUUAGCAUUAAAAUUUGUCGGUUAUAUAAAUGUGAAUUAUCACGUUAACAGUACAAGUUUGCCACCAGCAAUUAAUAACAAAUAAGGAAUGUGGUUUUGUAAAUAUACAUUGUGACUGGUUGUUUUUUUAGGUUGGUCCCUCUGGUACACCUUGUACCGAGGGGUCUCCAACGUCGUAGCUAAUAUAUUUCAUUUUGAUUUUUUCUAAAAAAAAAAAAACAAAUAAGGAAUGUGAGUUCGCUAAUGAGAUUUCCAAGUCAAACUAAGGAGUACAGAUAAAUAUUUAAGAGGAAAUUGGCAUCCACAAAUAUAUAUUCAUAACAAACAAAUAUAUAUAUAUAUAUAUAUUUUUUUAUACCAAAAUAAGAAAUAACUAUUAUAAAUACCUAUACCUGUUAUGAAAUUAACAUAAACUAUAGCAAGAUAUUGCAAACUAUAGAAGAAUGGAGAUAAGAGAGAAAGGGAAAAUAUAGAAUAGAGAAUAAAAGAGUAUUGCAUUAUGCUCUUCAAAGAUUGUAAUUCUUGCAAUGUCACCUGACUCCUAUUUAUAUGACAUAAAUGAAGUUAAGAGCAAUACCAAUGAGUGAAAACCAUAUAGUCAUAGGACCUAUAGACUAUCCAUGAAAUAUGAAAAACUUAGGGAGCUGCACAUCCACCAAAUAUUCAUAACAUUAUUGAUAAUAUUAUUUAAUUAGGCCUGCAGCAUAUAUAAGGCAUAAUAAAGCAUUCAAAACAAUCUGCCAUGAAGUUUCCUAUGUCACUUAAUUCAAUCACUGCUUUGGUGACUUUCCCUUCCUUUUUUCAAUAUAGAAGAACACACCUAGGGACACAACCGAGAAGGCGCUGAAGACAACGGAGCAGAUAUCAAGAGUCGCGUGGCGGCCACUGAUUGCGUUGAUCUCAAACAAGUUGGUACUCUUACCCGCGUUCGUGGUUUGGCCAUAAGCCACUUCCUUAUCGUUGGAAUCAAAUGCAUAGGCGCGUACAAAGUACGUUGCCUGAGGAACGUCGCGCUGAAUCAACCACUCGAAGGUUUGGACCGUUUUGUUGGAAGCAUUGUAUGGCAUGGCUAACAUUUUGUGUUGGCAAGUUUUGUCCCUAGAGAGUUCAUCCUCGGUCUUUCUCCAAGCACGGUCUUUUUGGCUUAUGGGCGCGUAGCACAAUUUCAGCUUUAUGGUUUUGUAGGAUGAGUCUGUUCCAGCUGGGAAGGUCUUGUUUAGAGCCCAUGUUCCACUGAUUUUGUCAACUCCGGAUAACAGAACUGCAUAGGUAUUUCAUACCAAAAUUGAGUUUAAUCAGCUUGAAGGAGUAUUUAACAUCAUGUAAAAACAAGUAUGCAAUCACAAUAUAGGAUAAGACAUUCAUUUAUUAAGGUUUUUGAUGCGUAUUAACUUUGCAAAAAUUAAGGUUGCAUCAGUCAUAUUCCUUUGUGAUCAUUUGUAUUAUCAAAAAUUGCAACGCGACUGCAGUUUAAAAACCUUAUUAAAUAACACACUGGACUCUAUUAAACUUGGCCAAAUUUUCUUGAAAAAUGUUCAUAGUGGUAUAUGAGAUUAUUCAAAUUCAAGAAAAGAGGAAGGAACAUAAUCACAUACAAAUCAAAAUUAAAUCAAGUAUCUUUUUAAAGAAGAAAAAAAGUGACUUUGUCUUCAAAUUAAUUCAUCAAAAUUAAACAUGAUCUAUGUGAUUCAUCAUAUUCUAUUUUAACUAGCAUAAGUCAAUACAAGGUGCAAAUUCUUCUUGUUACUUACCUUGUCCCUGCUUAGGGGAAGCUGUGACAUCAAUGGUUCUUUUCAAGGAAGAAAAGAGAUCCUUUCCAUAACAAAUUUCAGCUAAACAGCAUAGAAGAAGUGAUGCCACCACAAGCUUGUGUGCUGCCAUAGUUACUUAUAAAGAAAAGUCAACUUGUGAGAAGUAGAAGACUUUAGAGAAAAGCCAAUUGGAAUUGGAAUGAUAUUAUGAUGAGAAGAAUCUGAAUGGAGAUACACUCAUUCUAAACCAUAUUAUAUACAAAGCCCAAUCCAAAUAAAAUAGCAUAAAACUGAUACAAAUUGAGUUUUGACUUUGGGUAAUGACAACUACUGUUAUAAGUCAGAAGGCCCAAAAUAUUGUCGAAGCGUGUUUGAUUGUACGGUGAGGAGAAUUAAUUUUGAUAAAAUUGAUUAUAUAGAAUUGAUUUUGAUUAAAAGUGAUUUGUGUUUGGAUAUUUUUAUGUAAAAGUGAGUUUUGCUAUUAACAUGUGUGUGAAAAUCAAUUCUAAAAUCAAAAGCUAUAAAUAUUGUAGAAUCAAUUCUGGAGGUAGAAUCAAUUUUAGCGACAUGAGUCAAACAUGUCAGCAUCAAUUUUAUACCUCUCCCUUCAAAAAAAAAAAAAAUUUAUACCUCUAAAAUCAAUUAUGAUUUCUCUAGAUGUUGAACCAAAUAUACACUAAAAAAAAAAAUUGGAAGAGGAGAAAAGUAAUAGACGGAGCAAACAAGUGCCAAGUGGUAUAGAUGGCCCUUAAACUUGUUGAAGGGACAUCCUAUUCAAAACCAACUAACUUAUUGUACCGAUGGAAAUAGUUUAGUUUAGGACAGGUUAAAAAAAAACAGUUUUGUUUUAAAAAAAAAAAAUUUGAAAACAGUUUGUUUUAAUUUUAAUAUUACUUUAAUUAUGACACUAAGGUAUAUGUAUGAUGAUUUUCGUCUUUGAAUUUUGUCGACAAAGAAAUAUUAAGUCAUUGAUUUUGAAAUUGUUAUUGUGUUUACUUUGUUAUUGUUGUGUUUCUAUUUUCUUCAUGUCCUCAAGUGCUUUGAAUUUUUUAUGGACAGACGGUUAUACAUAAUCCAUUAGAUAUUAAAAUUCUUUGGACGAGUUGUUUGUCUGCAGGUUCCUAACGUGAGAUUUAUUUUUUUUGACAAACCUAAUGUGAGAUUAAUUAAGUUCUUUUUUUAACAUAUAAAAAAUAUAUUAGCCUAAAAUGACCAGUAGAGCUGCCAAUUAUAGAAGGAAGAACAAUUCAAUUUAGUUUUUUUAGAAUAAAUCAAUUUUAUGUCGUUAAAUAUCAAACUUUAUCAUGCCACGAUAUGAUUUUAUAUAGAGUGUACUUAUCCUUUUAUAUAGAGUGUACUUAUCCUUUUAUUUAUAUAACAUAAAGUCUAAUUAGUGUAUAGGGAGGUAGCAUACCUAGUUCUUCGUUUUUAUAGAUGGUGUCUGUGUUCGUUGGAGUGCUUGAAAUUGCUCUAAAAAUUAUUUGUAUUGUAAUGAGUUUGAGUAUCCUUGUACUCUCUGUCAAUAUAUUGUUUAUCUAAAACAAGAAUCAUUCUAUGUAAAUGGACUUAGACAUCUUAAAUGGUCGGACUUAAUUUUUACUCUUGACUAUAGGGCUGGAAAUGAGUCGAGUCGAACUGAACCUGUCUGAGCUCGACUCGACUCGAUAAGAAUUUGCUCGGCUUGAAACUCGACUCGAGUUCGACACGAACUCUUUUUUCAGCUCGAAUUCGACUCGUUUAAAGUUCACGAACAGUUCGGUUCGACUCGUUAGGUUCAAUUUGUUGCUUGAGUAAUAUAAUUCAAAAGUUUUUUUUUUUUUUUUCAAAAAUUUAUAUUUUGACCUCUUAAUUUAUUUAAAAAAAGUAUACUAAAAUUGAACUAAAACAAAAAACUAUAGACCAUGUUUGUCUCAAGACUACUAAGUAAAAAAGUAGUAGUAACAACUGCACUGCAAUCCAUAUAGAUUCUCAAAUGCACUUCUCUUUUAUAACUACUCUUAUGCUAUGUUGUUACUAAACUCCCCGAUAUGGGACAAAGUUUAGCACAAGUGUGUUAUUUGCUUCUUAUUGUUUCUUUUGUUCUUUUUUUUGGGUGAUAUUCUUUCUCUCUUUUAUUAAAUUGUUGAUUAAAUUAGAAAUAAUUCUUCCUCCUCUCUUUGAUAAAAAAAAAAUAAUUCCUCUAAAAACAAGUACAUAAAUAUCAUAGAAAGUUUGUAAUAAAUUACAUGUGUUGUAUUUUAAUAUUAGUGCCUGUACUUUAUAAAUUUUUACUAAACUUAUAUAUAUAUAUAUAUAAUAUUAUCGAGCCAACUCAUGAACCAACCGAGUCGAACUAUAUAAAGUUCAAGUUCAGCUCAUUUGUUUAACGGAUUUAAUUUUCAGCUUGUUUGGUUCAUGAACCAAAUUCAACGAGUUAAUUGUCGAAUCAAGUCCUAAACUAUUGUCGAGUUGGUUCGGUUCAUUGCCAGCCCUACUUGACUAUGAAAAAAAUAUUGUUAAUUUAGGAUAGCCAAUUUCAUAUAUCUAUCAAGUUUGUCAAAUUAUAUUAGCCAAUAAUAAAUGAUGGUGGAUAUUAUAAUUAGUCAAAGAGUUAAAGAGGGCCAUGUAGAAAAUAGGAACGUGGACUCUUAUAAAUAAGAGAAACUCAAAAAAAUGAGGUAUGAAAUGUGUGAUGUAACUUCUUUUUCUCUCUUUGAUUCCAGUCUCUCUGUUCUAUUCUUCUUAUUUGAUUCCAGUCUCUCUGUUCUAUUCUUCUUAUUGCUACUACAUCUUCUUAUUUACCUAUUGUGUUCUAUCAAAAACGAUUAUACUCCCUCCGUCCCUAUAUAUAAGACCCUUUUAUCAAAAUCACGGGAAUUAAGAUAGUGGAUAUUUGUAUUAAAGUUGUUUGUAAUCACUAUUGUUUUUACAAUUUUAUCCUUUAAGAAAGAAGGUUAGUUUAUGUUUUCAACAUGUUAUUUAUUGUUGAUUGAAGAAAAAGAUGUAUAAUAAAUAGGGGCAUGUAUGUAAAGAAAUAAUUAAUGUAGUUGGAAGUAACAAAGGGGUCUUAUAAAAAGGGACAAAAGAAAUUCUCAAAAGGGUCUUAUAAUUAGGGACGGAGGAAGUAAUUACCAAAUUAUAAUGCUUCUUUGGAUGAAUCAAUAGGAUAUUGUUUGCAUUUCCAUUCCAAUUGAGGAGAACCAUUACAGAUAUUCAAACCUAUAAUAUGAUUAUAAAAAAUAUUUAUCAAUAAUUAAUUUGGUAGCUAAUUUCAUCUGAUGGUUUAAUUUUAAUCAACUAGUUUCUUAGUUAUAAAUAAAUUGUCAUUACUUUUCAACUAUAUAUACAAACUAUAUAAUAAAAAAAAAAGGUGUAUAUAAACUAAUAAGUUUCUCUCAAAAAAAACAAAAAACUAAUAAGUUGAUUCAACCCUGUAUAAUUUUCAAAAACAUUAUUUACUCAUACUUGAUCUUAUAUAACUCAGAUAUUUAUGGAAAAGAAAUAUUUUUAAAUAAAAUUUGGAGUUCAUCCAAAUACAAGUACAAUAGUCAAUCAAUAUCAAUAACUCCUUAUAUAAUUGGAUUAUUAUAUUAUUCUUCCCUUCCCAUUUGAGCCUAUGGUGUUCUCUUUGUUUUGUCCAUUAUGUCUCGGAAAGGGCAAGCAGACAAAGGUGUGUGUGUGUAUACGUAGACGUCAGCCAUAGCCGUACAGUUACAGAAAAGGCAACGGAAAGGGGUUAGGAGGAUCCCAUAUUCUGUUGUUAUUUGCUACGUUUCCUUCAUUUCCUAUAAUAUUAUGGUGAAGUCUAACAUGAGGGAGCCAAUAGGUCCCUCAUGACAUGUGGGAGCAAAAGAUGCUUUUUUUUUACCUUAGGAUUAAAACAAUGAAUUGAUCUACUCCACCUCAGCAAGAGAGCACAUGCACCUCUCCACACUCAAUCAAAAUAGACCACACACUUUCUCUAUAUGAUUUUCUCUCACCUCUAUCACUUGCUUAUCUUGUCUUCUAUUUCUCUCUCUUAAGUUUCUUCCUCAUUUUACAACCCAGCAAUCAUAUGCACACACAGACUGUUAUCUCGCCCUCAUUCUCACCUCCUUUCCUCAAGAUACUUCACUGUUGCAAUUUAGGCAUGGGAAGCAUUAAACUGGGAACAUACAUACAUUCCUUUGGUUGCUGCAAAAGAAUAAUGUAUCACAUCUAAGCGAAUAAUUAUGUAUGAAAAUAACUAUUUAAGUACAACAAUUACCAAAGCAGCUAGGCUGACAUUUCUGCACGCUCCACAUACAAUCCGAGGUUUCUGGAAAAGUGUUAUUUUUAAAGAACCCUAAAAAAUAAAACAUGUGAUUAGCUUGUGGAUUUGAAAAAUAAGCUUGUGCUUUCUUCGUGCCAUUCAAUUCCGAUCAAAACUCCAUAAAAAUCGUUGAAUUUCAUUGUGUACCGAGGGAGAUAUGACCGGGUCGAUUAACGGGUCAAAAAACCCGUUUGAGUGUCUACGGGCGAAGAAGAUGAGAUUAAAAAAAGAUAAAAAAAAAAACAAAAAUUUGCCUUGGCAGGAGUUGAACCGACGCCAUACAACACAUAAAUCCCUAAACACUACCAACUGUACUGUGAUUACAAUUGCUAAUUUUAUAGAUUUUUAGUUUAUUUAUUUACUGUUACUUGUUUUGAAUUAGAUUUCUUUAUCAAGCAAAUCUUAUAUAGAUACAAGUCUAAAUAAAAUUUAUAUGAACACACAUACAUCAAUAAUAAAAUUUAAAAAUGAGACGAUAUUAAGUGAUGUGACUAAACUAUUAUUUUUUUUAAAAAUUUAUCAUCGCUGUGUGUGUCCGGAUUUGAUUAUAUAAAGCAAAUCUUACAUGAAUUGGGAGGGAUAUGAAACAUCAAUGAUAAAAUUUAAAUAGGAGACUAUAUUAAGUGAUGUAAUCGAAUUAUCAUUUUUUUAAAAUUUUAUCAUUGUUGUGUGUGUCCGGAUUUGAUUAUAUAAAGCAAAUCUUACAUGAAUUGGGAGGAUAUGAAAUUUGAUUAUUUUAGCAUUAGAGGGAAAGUGAAAUUGAGUAAUAUGAUUCUGCUAAAAAAAUAAUUAAAGUGAAAUUAAGUUUUUUUAGUUAAUAUUCAAUUCAUUACAUUUAUUCAAAAAAUAAAUGAAAAUUCCUUAGGAAGUCUAGUCAACUAGGAAGGACAACUCCCCGGUGACUGAAACGUUUCUAACAUUUGAACGGAAGCAUGUUUAGUCGAUCCCACCGUUGGAUGUGACCUUCACAAAGUUAGAAGGAAGCAGAAACUGAGAUUUCUCAUAUCAGAAUCUCGAACACGUGUCUACCGGACAAACUAUCUCUUCAGAAGCCUAGUAAACUAGGAAGGACAACUCCCC
rnacentral:lncRNA from 1 species